rnacentral:lncRNA from 1 species
CGAAUAUUAUAAAUAUUAUUAUAAUUAAAAAUUAAAUUACAUAUAUACUACCCGACACUUCAUUGUGCAUUGUAAUUGUACGCAUAUACAUAUACCAAAAAAGACAAAAGUAUUAAGUGCCUUGUAACUGCUCCUUGAUCGACACCAUCCUUGAACCAUUGUUUAAGUGGCUUGUCCCUGCAAGACAAAAUGAAUAUAUAUAAGGAACAUAAUGAGAUUUGUUAUAUCUAAUUACUAUCAAAAUUCUAAGAAUUUUCAAUCCAUGUCAAAGGAAAGCCGAAAAUUGCGACCAAAGUUUGUGUUCUAAAAAGCAACUUAACAAUUGCAAAAGUUGUCUGGAGAACACAAUUAGCAAGGGCCAAGAGAGACACCCAUCAAGGAUCGUUCCAACAGUUCGUAUUUAACAAGAGAAAUUUGGCUGUUGAAUGCUAACAAUAAAAAAGACACUAGGUGUAAGAGGAGACCAGUUUGUUUGUGUCCCUCUUCUCAGCCUUCUUUUGUUUAGAAUUGCGCAACUUAUGCCACACUGAAAAUAUUGCAGGUGCAUCCCGAUGAACACGUUCUGCUUUCUAUGAAGAAUUAAAAGGAAAUAUUCCCCAGUAAUCAACUUGUAUAGCCAAGAGAAACAUUCCACUUGAAGACAAGGUCAACAUUGGGUCAAGUCUAGAAUUGCAGAACAAUAUGAAAGAUUAGAAUCCAGUAAGAUAAGCCCAACACUACACUGAAAGUCCUUAUAGGCCACACAAAACCAAGAAUGUAGGUUAAAACAUCUCAUUGAGGUACAAUGGGAGAGUAAGAAGUAAUCUAAAACCUUUAUCUAAGCUUAGAAGAUAAGUAGUGGAGCAUUUAUUUUAUCGAACUCUAGUUCUACCGCAUUGGCUAUUGAACUUGAUAUGACAACUACAUAUUAUUUUACUGAUACUACAAUAGGAAAAGGGAGGACUGUUCUUCAUACUUCUCCCUGAUACAUGAUUUCUAAGUGGAAGAGCAAGUAUUCAAUCAAGUUAACACGAAGUUUGUGCUAUAUUCAUGUUUCUCAAACAAGUUAUAAAUCACAUUGGCAACAUUGAAUUAAACAUUUACUUAAGGUCCUAAAUCAUGAUUUCUAAGCGAAUAUGCAAAGUUGAGGGUCCUGUAGGCAUAGGAGAACCCAAAUACCAAACCUAAAUUCUCUCAGAGACCUGAAUAUGCAUUUCUUUUACUAGGAAAGCAAGAGGAGAGGACUAUCAAAAUCAAAACAGAUAUUCAAAUAAAUACAUGUGCAAUGAUGAAGCUACAUAAUAAGAUUUCCCAUAAAAGUCUACUUAUAAUAUCACUAACAUACUACAACAAACAACAUCACACCCCAAAGCCAAAACUCUACUUCAAUAUCAUUAACAUAUAAAGCAAAAUAACAUGUAAACAAAGCCUCUACAACCUAUUUGGGAGGACAAAGCAAGAAAGAGAAAUCUCAUUAUGUAGUACCAAAGUCAGUCACUUUCUUUUAAAAAUAUCUCUACUUUUUACAAAUGAAGGCAACAUGGUAUUUACAUACUAAAAAUUUAUGAGCAAUCAAUCCUCAAUUGAAGAAGAUAGCAAUAAGAAGUCCUUAUUCUCACUCUAGUAGAACAAUAGGAGAAACUAUUUUGUCUACCCAUUAUUAUUAUUAUCAAAAGCCUAAAGGAAAUUGGUGACGAUCUAUGUUAUCUGGGCAAGCUCUAAUUUAAUCAAGGGCACAUACACAAUAGGACAUUUGUAUCAUAACUUACAAAGAAGCUAAGAUCUUAAACAACAUCGUAAUAUAUGAUACUUGAGAGGUAGAUGAGUAUAUGGAUAAGAGCAGGACAACCUUUAACUUGUUAGCCUUAUAAAAAUCUCAACAGAAAGUUCCUAUAACAUGGAGGGGUACGUAGAAUACAUAAGUCAAGGCAAAUACACACACCAAAUAGAAGUUCAUACAUGGGAGUCUUAACAUGAAACAUCUAAGAUAGACCAUGGAAGGUUACGCAGUACCAUCUAGAACUGCUAUAGAAAAGCAAACAAGGUAGCAAACCAUCUCGCAGCUCUAAGUCACACACCACAGACUACUAAGGUCUACACCAACUUUACUAAUAUCCCUACACAUGUGAGAGGUCUAAUAAACAUGGACAAAGGGAUAGUUCCAAAUUUCAGAAUAAGG